ACGGGGCGCAGCAGGCGCGAAAACUUUACAAUGCGGGAAACCGUGAUAAGGGAAUCUCGAGUGCCAGCAUAUAAUGUUGGCUGUCCAGAUGCCUAAAAAGCAUUUGUUAGCAAGGGCCGGGCAAGACCGGUGCCAGCCGCCGCGGUAACACCGGCGGCCCGAGUGGUAACCGUUUUUAUUGGGUCUAAAGGGUCUGUAGCCGGCCAUGUAAGUCCCUUGGGAAAUCUGGCAGCUCAACUGUCAGGCUGCUAGGGGAUACUGCUUGGCUUGGGACCGGGAGAGGUGAGAGGUACCUUGAGGGUAGGGGUGAAAUCUUGUGAUCCUCGGGGGACCACCAGUGGCGAAGGCGUCUCACCAGAACGGAUCCGACGGUAAGGGACGAAAGCUAGGGGCACGAACCGGAUUAGAUACCCGGGUAGUCCUAGCCGUAAACGAUGCUCGCUAGGUGUCAGUCACGGUGCGACCGUGAUUGGUGCCGUAGGGAAGCCGUGAAGCGAGCCACCUGGGAAGUACGGCCGCAAGGCUGAAACUUAAAGGAAUUGGCGGGGGAGCACUACAACGGGUGGAGCCUGCGGUUUAAUUGGAUUCAACGCCGGA
rnacentral:rRNA from 1 species